GAUGAACGCUAGCUACAGGCUUAACACAUGCAAGUCGAGGGGUAACGAGAGGGAAGCUUGCUUUCCUUGUCGACGACCGGCGCACGGGUGAGUAACGCGUAUCCAACCUGCCCCCAACUAAGGAAUAACCUUGCGAAAGUAAGACUAAUACCCUAUAAUUUCCUCAGAUGACAUCUGACGAGGAAUAAAGAUUUAUCGGUUGUGGAUGGGGAUGCGUCUGAUUAGCUUGUUGGCGGGGUAACGGCCCACCAAGGCAACGAUCAGUAGGGGUUCUGAGAGGAAGGUCCCCCACAGUGGAACUGAGACACGGUCCUAACUCCUACGGGAGGCAGCAGUGAGGAAUAUUGGUCAAUGGGCGGAAGCCUGAACCAGCCAAGUAGCGUGCAGGAUGACGGCCCUAUGGGUUGUAAACUGCUUUUAUACAGGAAUAAAGUUAGCCACGUGUGGUUAUUUGUAGGUACUGUAUGAAUAAGGACCGGCUAAUUCCGUGCCAGCAGCCGCCGCAG
rnacentral:rRNA from 1 species